CCGGUAAACGGCGGCCGUAACUAUAACGGUCCUAAGGUAGCGAAAUUCCUUGUCGGGUAAGUUCCGACCUGCACGAAUGGCGUAAUGAUGGCCAGGCUGUCUCCACCCGAGACUCAGUGAAAUUGAACUCGCUGUGAAGAUGCAGUGUACCCGCGGCAAGACGGAAAGACCCCGUGAACCUUUACUAUAGCUUGACACUGAACAUUGAGCCUUGAUGUGUAGGAUAGGUGGGAGGCUUUGAAGUGUGGACGCCAGUCUGCAUGGAGCCGACCUUGAAAUACCACCCUUUAAUGUUUGAUGUUCUAACGUUGGCCCCUGAUCGGGGUUGCGGACAGUGUCUGGUGGGUAGUUUGACUGGGGCGGUCUCCUCCUAAAGAGUAACGGAGGAGCACGAAGGUUGGCUAAUCCUGGUCGGACAUCAGGAGGUUAGUGCAAUGGCAUAAGCCAGCUUGACUGCGAGCGUGACGGCGCGAGCAGGUGCGAAAGCAGGUCAUAGUGAUCCGGUGGUUCUGAAUGGAAGGGCCAUCGCUCAACGGAUAAAAGGUACUCCGGGGAUAACAGGCUGAUACCGCCCAAGAGUUCAUAUCGACGGCGGUGUUUGGCACCUCGAUGUCGGCUCAUCACAUCCUGGGGCUGAAGUAGGUCCCAAGGGUAUGGCUGUUCGCCAUUUAAAGUGGUACGCGAGCUGGGUUUAGAACGUCGUGAGACAGUUCGGUCCCUAUCUGCCGUGGGCGCUGGAGAACUGAGGGGGGCUGCUCCUAGUACGAGAGGACCGGAGUGGACGCAUCACUGGUGUUCGGGUUGUCAUGCCAAUGGCACUGCCCGGUAGCUAAAUGCGGAAGAGAUAAGUGCUGAAAGCAUCUAAGCACGAAACUUGCCCCGAGAUGAGUUCUCCCUGACUCCCUGAGAGUCCUGAAGGAACGUUGAAGACGACGACGUUGAUAGGCCGGGUGUGUAAGCGCAGCGAUGCGUUGAGCUAACCGGUACUAAUGAACCGUGAGG
rnacentral:rRNA from 1 species